rnacentral:rRNA from 1 species
AGACGUCUACAUUAGAUACCCUGUAGUCCUAGCCGUAAACGAUACUCGCUAGGUGUCGGCCACGGUGCGACCGUUGUCGGUGCCGUAGGGAAGCCGUGAAGCGAGCCACCUGGGAAGUACGGCCGCAAGGCUGAAACUUAAAGGAAUUGGCGGGGAGCACCACAAGAGGUGGAGGCUGCGGUUCAAUUGGACUCAACGCCGGAAAACUCAUCGGGAGCGACAGCAGUAUGAUUGCCAGGUUGAUGACCUUGCUUGACAAGCUG